rnacentral:rRNA from 1 species
CCUACGGGAGGCAGCAGUGGGGAAUAUUGGACAAUGGAGGAAACCCUGAUCCAGCGACGUCGCGUGAGUGAAGAAGUAUUUCUGUACGUAAAACUCUAUCAGCAGAGAAGAAAAUGACGGUACGUGACUAAUAAGCCCCGGCUAACUACGUGCAAGCAGCCGCGGUAAUACGUAGGGGGCAACGGUUAUACGGAUUUACUGGGUGUAAAGGGAGCGUAGACGGCAGCGUAAGUCUGUAGUGAAAUGCCGGGGCCCAACCCCGGAAUUGCCAUGGAAACUGUGAAGCUGGAGUGCAGGAGAGGUAAGCGGAAUUCGUGGUGUAGCGGUGAAAUGCUUAGAUAUCAGGAGGAACACCGGCGGCGAAGGCAGCUUACUAGACUGUAACUGACGUUGAGGCUCGAAGGCGUGGGGAGCAAACAGGAUUAAAUACCCUAGUAGUC